CCACGGGGGGCAGCAGUCGAGAAUUAUUCGCAAUGGGCGAAAGCCUGACGAUGCGACGCCGUGUGAGCGAAGAAGGCCUUCGGGUUGUAAAGCUCUUUCGCUAGGGAACAAGAAAUACUGAUGAAUAAUGAGUAGAUUUGAGUGUACCUGGUAAAGAAGCACCGGCUAACUCCGUGCCAGCAGCUGCGGUAAUACGGAGGGUGCGAGCAUUAAUCGGAUUUAUUGGGCGUAAAGGGCGCGUAGGCGUCUUUAUAAGUUACUUGUGAAAUUACCGGGCUCAACCUGGUAGCGGCAAGUGAAACUGUAGGGAUGGAGUUUAAGCGAGGGGAAUGGAAUUCCACGUGUAGCGGUGAAAUGCGUAGAUAUGUGGAAGAACACCGGUGGCGAAAGCGGUUUUCCAGCUUAAUACUGACGCUGAGGCGCGAAAGCAAGGGGAGCAAACAGGAUUAGAUACCCGAGUAGUC
rnacentral:rRNA from 1 species